AUGUAUUACCAAGAGAAUCACUCACCAUUACCAGGAGAAAUACUCACCAUUACCAGGAGAAUCACUCACCAUUACCAGGAUAAUCACCAUUACCAAGAGAAUCACUCACCAUUACCAAGAGAAUCACUCACCAUUACCAGGAGAAUCACUCACCAUCACCAAGAGAAUCACUCACCAUCACCAGGAGAAUCACUCACCAUUACCAGGAUAAUCACCAUUACCAGGAUAAUCACAAUUACCAAGAGAAUCACUCACCAUCACCAGGAUAAAUCACAAUUACCAAGAGAAUCACUCACCAUCACCAGGAGAAUCACUCACCAUUACCAGGAUAAUCACCAUUACCAAGGGAAUCACUCACCAUUACCAGAAUCACUCACCAUUACCAGGAUAAUCACCAUUGCCAAGAGAAUCACUCACCAUUACCAAGAGAAUCACCAUUACCAGGAGAAUCACUCACCAUUACCAGGAGAAUCACUCACCAUUACCAGGAGAAUCACUCACCAUUACCAGGAGAAUCACCAUUACCAAGAGAAUCACCAUUACCAGGAGAAAUACUCACCAUUAUCAGGAGAAUCACUCACCAUUACCAGGAUAAUCACCAUUACCAGGAUAAUCACAAUUACCAAGAGAAUCACUCACCAUCACCAGGAUAAAUCACAAUUACCAAGAGAAUCACUCACCAUCACCAGGAGAAUCACUCACCAUUACCAGGAUAAUCACCAUUACCAAGAGAAUCACUCACCAUUACCAGAAUCACUCACCAUUACCAGGAUAAUCACCAUUGCUAAGAGAAUCACUCACCAUUACCAAGAGAAUCACCAUUACCAGGAGAAUCACUCACCAUUACCAGGAGAAUCACUCACCAUUACCAGGAGAAUCACUCACCAUUACCAGGAGAAUCACCAUUACCAAGAGAAUCACCAUUACCAGGAGAAAUACUCACCAUUAUCAGGAGAAUCACUCACCAUUACCAGGAGAAUCACUCACCAUUACCAGGAUAAUCACUCACCAUUACCAGGAUAA
rnacentral:lncRNA from 1 species